rnacentral:rRNA from 1 species
UACAGAGGUCUCAAGCGUUGUUCGGAUUCAUUGGGCGUAAAGGGUGCGUAGGCGGCGCGGUAAGUCGGGUGUGAAAUCUCGGAGCUUAACUCCGAAACUGCAUUCGAUACUGCCGUGCUUGAGGACUGGAGAGGAGACUGGAAUUUACGGUGUAGCGGUGAAAUGCGUAGAUAAUCGGGAGGAACACCUGUGGCGAAAGCGGCGCACUGGACCACAUCUGACGCUGAGGCGCGAAAGCUAGGGGAGCAAACAGG